CCCCCACCCGAUCCCAUCUCGAACUCGGACGUGAAAACCUCCAGCGCCCAUGAUACUGCGGCUCAAGCCGCGGGAAAGUCGGUCGCCGCCAGGU
rnacentral:rRNA from 1 species